rnacentral:rRNA from 1 species
UACGGGGGGGGCAAGCGUUGUUCGGAAUUACUGGGCGUAAAGGGCUCGUAGGUGGCCAACUAAGUCAGACGUGAAAUCCCUCGGCUUAAUCGGGGAACUGCGUCUGAUACUGGAUGGCUUGAGAUUGGGAGAGGGAUGCGGAAUUCCAGGUGUAGCGGUGAAAUGCGUAGAUAUCUGGAGGAACACCGGUGGCGAAGGCGGCAUCCUGGACCAACACCGACACUGAGGAGCGAAAGCCAGGGGAGUAAACGGG